AUGGCUGCUUUCUAUUCUUGCUUCCCUGUUGGGGCCACAGUUCAAGGGCUGGGGAGGUAUGUGGUAAGGGAGCCGGGGAGAAAGUUCUCCCUCCCCGCUGCACCUCCCUUGCUACCGCCCUGCCACCCACCUGCCAGCCGGGUGGCAGUGUGCUGGGGGAGCUGGUGGAAGGGGAGGGACGGGAGGAGGAGAGAGGGGAGUUUUGGCCUUAACUCUUGCUGUAUCUCUUUGGCUCCUGCUGGAUUCCCUGCCUGGACGCCGGUGGGACAGGACGGGCUUGCCCGGCAGAGCUCGCUGGGUGCAGGAACUGAGCUUGUCACAGAAGCACAGAAUCACCUAGGUUGGAAGAGACCUCCAAGAUCAUCGAGCCCAACCUCUGACCUAACACUAACCAGUCCUCCACUAAACCGUAUCACUGAGCUCUCCAUCUAAACGUCUGCUGAAGACCUCCACAAAUGGUCUAAGCUUAGUACAUCCCUGCCCAGACCAGAAUUAUCUCGCAAGUAUGAGGGCCUUUUUGCUAAUCUCAGGGGUGUUGUUUCUUUUUUUUUUUAUUGCAGGACUGGGCAAGGAGUUGGAUAUUUGUUGCUUGUUCCUGUUACCAAAAGUAGCUCAGGUCAAAUAAGCACACGUGCAUUUUGCUCAGGUGGCAGGCUGCACUGUCAUGUAAUGUGGUGGCCAGCGGUCUGAAGACAGCACUUCUGGCAAUGUGCUGAAACAAGAUGAUAGGUCACCCGUUCUUAGUCAGGCUAUUAAUCCUUAACAUUCCUGUCCUGCCCUCUGCAGCCACUCCAGGAGCCUGUUCAGAGGCAGUUGCAGUAUAACACACAUGGGGAAGACCAGAGACCCUUCCCCUGUCCCUUCAACACAGGAUUUUUGUCCCAAGGAAAAUGCUUCUUGCUGAUGCUAAAUCAGCCAUUUUUCAAAGAAUUAGGGGAACCCCACAGUGAUAGUAGGAACAGAUCCAUCGUGGUUGCUGGUCCCCUCCCUCUUCCUCCCACCAGCAGGUCCCACAGCAGCUCCCUGCAUCCCAUGCACU
rnacentral:lncRNA from 1 species